rnacentral:rRNA from 1 species
AUUGAACGCUGGCGGCAUGCCUUACACAUGCAAGUCGAACGGCAGCACGGGUGCUUGCACCUGGUGGCGAGUGGCGAACGGGUGAGUAAUACAUCGGAACAUGUCCUGUAGUGGGGGAUAGCCCGGCGAAAGCCGGAUUAAUACCGCAUACGAUCUACGGAUGAAAGCGGGGGACCUUCGGGCCUCGCGCUAUAGGGUUGGCCGAUGGCUGAUUAGCUAGUUGGUGGGGUAAAGGCCUACCAAGGCGACGAUCAGUAGCUGGUCUGAGAGGACGACCAGCCACACUGGGACUGAGACACGGCCCAGACCCCUACGGGAGGCAGGAGGGGGGAAUUUUGGAAAAUGGGGGAAAGCCUGACCCAGAAAUGCCGGGGGUGUGAAGAAGGCCUUGGGUUGGUAAAGCACUUUUGCCCGGAAAGAAAUCCUGGGCCCUAAUACGGGCGGGGGAUGAGGGUCCCGGAAGAAAAAGCCCCGGUUAACUACGU